AGUUGAAUAACAGUGUAAUUCUGCUUUGGCAGGGAAACACUAUAAUAGUGUUAAUGCCUGAUGCUCUAUAUAUGACAUCUCUGCCAAGGGAGAGUUGCCCUGCUAUUCAGCC
rfam:Macleaya cordata isolate BLH2017 scaffold8439, whole genome shotgun sequence.